AUAUAAAAUAGAAAUAGAAUAUUUCUAAGAAUAUUCUUUUUUAGAGUAGAAAAUAGAGAUAUACAUUGGAGAAAAACUCAUCUCUAAAAUUGAGUUACUCUAUUUUAGAACAAGAUAUAGAGCUAUACAUUGGAGAUGGUCUUAAUACAUAGUCAAAAUUGAUUACUUAUU
rnacentral:sRNA from 1 species